GUGGGGAAUAUUGCGCAAUGGACGAAAGUCUGACGCAGCGACGCCGCGUGAGGGAUGAAGGUUUUCGGAUCGUAAACCUCUGUCAGGAGGGAAGAAAGCGCAUGGCGCCAAUCAGCCAUGCGUUGACGGUACCUCCAAAGGAAGCGCCGGCUAACUCCGUGCCAGCAGCCGCGGUAAUACGGAGGGCGCGAGCGUUAAUCGGAAUUACUGGGCGUAAAGCGCGCGUAGGCUGUUGUGUAAGUUGGGGGUGAAAUCCCACGGCUCAACCGUGGAACAGCCCUUGAUACUGCGCGACUUGAAUCCGGGAGAGGGUGGCGGAAUUCCAGGUGUAGGAGUGAAAUCCGUAGAUAUCUGGAGGAACAUCAGUGGCGAAGGCGGCCACCUGGACCGGUAUUGACGCUGAGGCGCGAAAGCGUGGGGAGCAAACAGGA
rnacentral:rRNA from 1 species